UAUUUCAGAUUAUUCCUAGAGAAGGUACCUGCGGCAUGUUAAAUCUAACUGACGAAGUUCUGUAUUUCAUAUAUAGUUACAUUGGCAGACCAAUUAUGGACUACAGCCUGACGAGGCCAGUCGGCAAGCACUCGCCCACACUAACAGCGAGAGCUGGAAACUAUGAGCAUGAAUGCGAGCCUCCACAGUAUUUUCCUAAUUUUAACUGCAAGGAGCUUUACAUAUGGUACAUAUACAACAGUACAAGUACUCCAUUUAGCCUCCCGAUCAACUUAAGUGUUUCAUACAAGGGGAGGAACGCAACGCAUCUAGUUGACAUCAAUAAUGCACAAAUCGCAUAUUGGAAUCCAGAUGAGCUUGAUUGGUCACUUCAGUAUACAGGAAACUACUCUGAAAAGAAAUGUAAAUUCAGCGUUGAAGUCACCGUCACUGGUUUCUUCGUCUAUAAAGUAAAAGAGGUAGGCGACGAUAAGCCAAACGAGGGUUCUUAUGGUAUAGGAAUGGUGUCAUAUAUUAAUCCUAUGCUUGUAAAAUACAAUGACUCGGCAUUAGCGUACAACAUCAGUGGCGUAUUUCAACACACAGUCACUUGUAAUCCAAGCAAGACAGAAGCUGAGGCAAAUAAAAGGUCUUCAUAGAGGGAGCCAUGUGGAAGACAAGUCGUGUUCUCAAAACGAUUGCUCUGUCAACAUUGCGUGUGUAGGCACUUGUAAAUAAUAAACAAAUGUGAAGUUCAAAGAGAACAAAUUUUGGUGAAACCACGUAUUAGCAAAUUAUAUGAGCAGUGUACGUUCCCGAUUCGGCGCAUGGCUCAUUGUGUACAACGCGCCCAUCUACACCCAUUUCAUGGGCUGACGGAGUGAGAAUGUGCAUGUUGGCAGAACGUAUAUUUCCAGCGCUCUACGUUAUGUCGCUGGCGUUAUCGAUCGUUGACCAGGAUA